rnacentral:rRNA from 1 species
UACGGAGGGUGCAAGCGUUAUCCGGAUUCACUGGGUUUAAAGGGUGCGUAGGUGGGUUUGUAAGUCAGUGGUGAAAUCUCCGUGCUUAACAUGGAAACUGCCAUUGAUACUACAGGUCUUGAAUUUUCCGGAGGUCAGCGGAAUAUGUCAUGUAGCGGUGAAAUGCUUAGAUAUGACAUAGAACACCGAUUGCGAAGGCAGCUGACUACAGGACGAUUGACACUGAGGCACGAAAGCGUGGGGAUCAAACAGG